GACGAACGCUGGCGGCGUGCUUAACACAUGCAAGUCGAACGGAAAGGCCCUGCGUUUGUUGCGUGCUCGUUUGGCGAGCGGGGGUGUAACACGUGAGUAUACUGCACCUAUCUUUGUGAUAACUUCAGGAGACUGCGGCUCAUACCGCGUAGGAGCUCCUGCUGCACGGUGGGGGUUGGAAAGUUUCGGCGGUUCUGGCUCGACUCGCUGGUUAUCCGCUUGUUUGUGUGGUAGUGGAUUACCAAGGCUUCGACGGGUAGCCGGCCUGAGAGGGUGAACGGCGACAUUGGGACUGAGGUACGGCGCAGAAGGCUAUGGGAGGCAGUAGUGGGGAACAUUGCACAAUGGGCGGAAGCCUGAUGCAGCAACGCUGCGUGCGGGAUGACGGGCUUCGGGGUGUAAACCGAUUUCGCAGGUGACGAAGCGUGAGUGACGGUAAUGGGUAAGGAAGCACCGGCUAACUACGUG
rnacentral:rRNA from 1 species